UUCCGCUGAUAUCGGUUUCUAAGGGUGGGUGGGUGGGGGGGGGGGGGUGUUCUCUGAAACGUCCACAUCUUUGUUCACGCGGCACUUUCCGUAAGAAAAUUCAACGCAAAACAAUACGUCGGUGGUAUGCGAGUACUCUAGCGAAUGCUACAAACGUUAUACGAAGACAUUUGUUAAAAACUUAUUUCUUCGUUUAAUCUUGUAAAUCUGUUUUGCAGAUGAAGAGUUUACGCGAGUAAUGGUAGGCAGAUUAACAAAAGAUAUAGCGGGACGGUACAGUGCGACGCGGCGCUCACAUUGCCCUCUAUCUAAGUACAUAUAAUACAUCGUCCACCUCUUCACGUGGGAAUAUUGAUUUCGCCGCGUCAGCUGCUCGCUCAGUUGCUCGACUUUGCUUGCCUAUUCGUCGACCGUUCGUCCUCCGUUGUUCGCCGCGAACGCGCGCGCGUUUACUCGCCGCUUGCCCAAUCUAAUUCGUACACUUGUUCUACCACUUUAUACGUUAAUUUGCAUUGCUCAUCUACCACGUGUUUCCCACCUCGCAAACGUCACGCGAUUAUCGUUCGUUUAACGAGCCUGUUUCUAUGUCACGAUCAAUUAUUACCUUUUACAAAAAACAGGAUUUUCACUUUUUUUAAUAUUUACCGUACAUGCGAAUAUUUCAACCGUACGAAACGUUCUAAAAUGUAUCGUUGAUUUACAUUUUUAACGUGGCGAUUCUUCGUAUUUAAUUUUAGGGAUCAUCGACGUUACCUAACCUUUACUUAUAUUUUCCUAUGGAGAAAACAGAUUGAUUUUCAAAUACAUUGUGGAAAAUAACCUGUAAAACACGCGUGGAGCCCUGGUCCGAGGUCAAGCGUGAAUCAUCUUUCGUGAUUCAACGAGUAAAAUGAAAAAUUAUUGGUAAUCGCCAUCACGUAGAACCAAUUAAUUUUAAUAACGAUUUAUACAAGGGUCAGACGCACAAAUAUAGACGCACAAAAUGGAAACAGGGAGAGGUUAGAAAAUGAGAAGUUAGGUGACAUAGGCAAUGAAGGAAACGUUACAUAGCGAGAGGAAGUGUUUUGGCUACCGCUAGUAGCUCGUCCUAUAUUUCCGAUAUGAAUAUAUUACAAGAAGUAGCAUAGUGUUAUUUCGUCGGACCAUUCUUUCACACUGUCCAUUCCUGUGUUGCCACGGUAACAGCCUAGAUUCGAGAGGUUGGGAGAUGCGAACCCACAGAGCAGAGACAAAGGGUAGCGCGUGCGCUCAUUCGUUGGUCCGCCUACAUAUUUGUACAUCUACACGCUUAUACACGUACACGGAUACUGGUAAAAUCUGUCCAGAAGAAGAACAGAAGAGAAAGAAGAAGAGAACCAUUGUCGCUCGAUCGUGUCCUUUUGUUACAUAUUUCCGGUAGCAGGGCUUACAACGGACGUAAACAAUCCAUUGAAAUAUACGGGAAUGUUCCCGUCUUUGUACACGCGUAUAGCCGACCAGUUCCGAUUUAACAAAGUCGACGAACACUCGACCAAUUUCCUUUCCCUGAAAACAUACUUGUCGCGCGACUAUUCACUUUCAAUUUGUGUUCGGCUAAUAAUUUCCGCGUUCUCGUAUCGGAUCGCUUUUCGAACAUUUGUUGCCUACUGCGAUCGAUGAAAACCAGGUCACGCUUUUCCUCGUAUCAAGAAGACAGGUAAAGUCAAACGAGGCCAUUCGUCCUCGUAAUCACGCACGAACAAUCUUGCUAACGUUUUACUUUAAAUAGCCAACAUUAACAAAUUUAAACGACCGCUUGCAUAUUUAUCGCAUAAUCGACGCGAUAUAUUCGCAACACAUAUUACUUUAAACAAGAGACUUUGGAAAAUAUAUUACGGCGCAUGUCGUGCUUAAUGUAAAGAGAAUUCAAAGUUCAAAGAUCGUACCACGUGUAAUUCCUUGCGCAAAAUAUUGUAACCUCGCUGAUCGUGCAACGUUUCUCCAGGUAUUACUUGUAUAUCGUUCAACGGAUAGAAAGUUUGAUUACUUGAUAAAAUACCGUAAAACAAGAACUAGUCGGUUUCGCGUCAGUUAACGCCGAUUCUUCUAGAUACAUAUUUUUCCAGAUUUUGCAAACGUAUUUUCUCGAAAAGCAUUCGAAAAGUGCACGUAGGAAUUUCGAGAAAUUAUCGCAAGAUUAGUGAAAGGCGACUAUUGUAAGAUUUCGAAAGAAGAUUUCACUUUUAAUUCUACAUUACGUACGAUACGAAACGAGAAGAGGCGAGAAUAAACGAAAGAAGGGAAUGGAUACUUGAUAUCGUCUAAUGUAAAUAAAAUACGAAUACAAUCGUAACAGUGCCUAAACAGUAAAUAUGAAAUAUUCGAAAUUUGUUAAAUUUCUACUCCUUUCUUUAUCGUUCUCAUAUUUUGAAUACUUAACCUUGAAACUGAUAUACAUAUUGAUAUUUUCACUGAUGCUUGACCAACGAAAAAAGUGGGAUUAUCGCAAGAAUUUCGAGCGUGACCCGACCUUGUCCUAAAUUUCAUUGCUCCUGAGCCUUUCGAGAAUUCAGCAAACCAGCUCCCUCUAGCUAGGGCAGUGUUUUUCAAACUGCAGGAUGUGACUCAUUGGAAGGUUGUAAAAUCGAUACGGUAGUUUAUAUAAUAUACACGCGCGCGCGCGCGCACUACAAUAAAAUUAUCUGCCUAUAAUACGGCAAAGAACGAAUGAUCGAAGAAAAUAUUACGAAAUGAAAUUGAUCGGAAAAUCAUGAAACGUACGUAAGAGAUAUUUUAUUUGAAAGAUUAUCAAUAUUUACUUUGUACUAUUUAGAGGAUUUCGUUGAUAUGAAAUCGAGACUCGAGAGAAACAAUUUGAAAUUAGGAAAGAUUCGAAUAUAUAGGUACGAUAGCAAGAUCGAAAUGAAACGAAAACGCGGACAAAUAAGAAACUAAAUUUCCAACGAUUUUAAUUGAUUCGGGCGUAUGCAUAUGACACGCGUAGAACGCAUUUCAGUAGAUUAGCAAGCAAUGGAUAGCUACAGCGAUGGAAAGUGAAAGUACCUCCGUCUAGCGACCAACGUUUCGUUUCCAUGUACUUUAUUCGACCUGCUAUGAUACAACGUAUCUUUGUAUUAUACGUAAUAAUAUCGUUACGCGAAACACUUGCUCGGUUAAAGCAGACGAUCUAGCAAGAGGUAACAACGAACAGUUACAAACAGUUUAAAACUCGUAUGUCUAACGAUUUCUAGAAUUUAUCGUAGUUGGUACCGUUAAAAACCGAUUAUUAAAAGCCGUUAUCGAAGAUACGCGGCAAAGCUAUAGGUAACUCGCGUAUUUUCAAACACGGCACGAUAACCGUUAAAAGUAUCGGACUCGUUACGCAUAGGAUAAUGAUAUGAUUCAUACUCGUUGGUUAA